rnacentral:lncRNA from 1 species
AAUCUUAUUCAGACACAGACUUUGGCCAGGUCCCUGUAGAAGUCAUAGGAGAGUUGGGGUUUCAAGACAAAACAAUAAGAACAACAACAAAAAUAAUAAAACCAACAAUCUUCAGUCCUUUUUGCUUAGUGGGGGUGGAAAGGCCACUGUAGAGAACUUCUUUAAUCCAAGGACACCCACACCAAUAAAAGCAGACGGCAAGGGAACCAGGACAAGCAUGGCUGUGAAGGGACUAGAAACAGAUCUGGCAGGUGGAUAUGCAAUCAUUCCUAUGUGAUGAAGCUCCAGUAAAAUCUCUGGACACCAGCACAGGAUGGGAUGUCCUUUUGCAGAGGAAGCCCAGGUUGGACUUGAACUUCUGGGCUCAAGUUGCCCAUGCUGGACUUGAACUCCUGGGCUCAAGUGGUCCUCUGGCCUCAGCCUCCCAUGUAGCUGAGUCUACUGAUGUAUACCAUCACACCUGGCUUUUUCUUUUCAUUGGAAAAUUUAGUCCAUUUACAUUUAAAGUAAUUGUAAUAGUACCCCUUCUAUUACGAGGGAGGAAAAUAAAACUCAGAUUUCAGGAAUCAAUCAAGGUCAUGUAGCAACCUGGUGGUCAGCCAGAGCUAGAAAUUAUCAAAUAUGAUGAUCCAGCCGGUGUGGUGUAUUCUGAUAUGAGGAGAAUUUCUCUUUUGGUCUUGGACAUAUUCCUUAGACUGACAUGUCACUGGGCCAAUAUUUGAGUGAAUCUCCUGUUUCUGGAAUUAUCAAGAAGACUACAGAAAAUUAUAGGAGUGACUCCGAAAUGCUAUGGAAGAGAUUCCUGCAUUGUCAUGCAUAAAGGCAGUCAGGAGUCCAGAUGAAUCCAUGGCACUGGAACUGAAACCACAGUCCACACCUCUUACAGCACUUCACUACCAUUAGCAAGAGUAAAGGGGCAGCCACAAAAACUGAAGAAAAGAGUGAAGAGGGAGGCUUUGCAACCCUGUCCAACAAAUAUGAGACCUGAAACUGGGGCAGCCAUUGCGAGACCCUGAUGACAGCCAGCCCAAUGGCAAUGCAGACACACACAGCAUGGUGGCAUGAGAUCAUGUCCUAAGAAAUGAGAGAAUUUGAUGUCAUCGUGUGCUGCAGUCAGCCAGCCUUGGAACUCACCAUACCUCUGGACUGCUUGAUAGGGUUCCAGUUCACCUUCCAAUCACCAUUAGACGAAGUUACUCAUUUUUCCAAAAGCAGAGAACAAGAUUGCAGAAGACAACUUGACGUUCCAUUUUAGGAACCAAUAACCCUCAUAUUUGGAAAUUUCAUUACUACACUUUCAGAGGUAUGUUUUACAUUCAGAGUCGGAAACCCCAACAUGCUAUGCAGUUUGAACUUAGCAGGUUCUUCUCAAGCUUGUCUUGCAUGUUCUAAGCUUAGAAAAAUAUUUUACUUUUACUGUUUCCCAAAUUAUAUUGACUGGGAAAAGUUAC